GUAGCUCACUUUGCCAACACAUAUAUUAAAAUUGGAAAACAGAAACAGAAGAUUUGCAUGUCCCCUGUGCAAAGAUGACAUGCACACUUUUGAAGUGUCCCAUAGCUCA